CGGCCGUGAGGACAGUUCUUCAUAUUUAACUUGCAAAUGAUCAACUAAAGGGCUCUUUGGAAACUUUGAAUAAAUAAAUUGAUAAAAAUGAAACUAAAAGAGGGAAAAAAAAGUCCAGUUAAGGAUCAAGUUGUGUAAUUUUACUCGGUUUUCCAGCCUCUGCUUCUCCACGUUCAACUUCAGAUGAUGCUGCAUUCACUGUACCUCAGAACUGGCAAGUUUCUCUUUCAGCUGAAUUAACUUCCAUUCAGCUUCAUUUAAAAAGACGAUUUGAU